GACGAACCGUGCGAACGUUGUUCGGAAUAACUGGGCUUAAAGGGCGCGUAGGCGGGCUGCCAAGUUCGGGGUGAAAUCCUCCCGCUCAACGGGAGAACUGCCCCGAAUACUGGCGGUCUCGAGGGAGGUAGGGGCGUGCGGAACUAUGGGUGGAGCGGUGAAAUGCGUUGAUAUCCAUAGGAACUCCGGUGGCGAAGGCGGCACGCUGGACCUCUUCUGACGCUGAGGCGCGAAAGCCAGGGGAGCGAACGGG
rnacentral:rRNA from 2 species